GAAGUCGUCGGUUGAUGUGUAGCCAAGAAAGGUAGCGAGGAUGAAAGGUAGGGACUGGCUGUCCCGCCCAGAACGAGAUUGAGCUCCGAAAUUCGGUUUCUGUUGGAAUCUGCCCAAGGUCUUUGCAUGCUGGAAGGGAAUACUCACCGUCGCGCUCUUGGCGAGCGGCAGUGGGAGUCCCGGAGUCGAAGAUCC
rnacentral:autocatalytically_spliced_intron from 1 species